ACCAGUACCGUGAGGGAAAGGCGAAAAGAACCCCGGCGAGGGGAGUGAAAAAGAACCUGAAACCGUGUACGUACAAGCAGUGGGAGCACAGGUUUACCUGUGUGACUGCGUACCUUUUGUAUAAUGGGUCAGCGACUUAUAUUCUGUAGCAAGGUUAACCGUAUAGGGGAGCCGUAGGGAAACCGAGUCUUAACCGGGCGUUAAGUUGCAGGGUAUAGACCCGAAACCCGGUGAUCUAGCCAUGGGCAGGUUGAAGGUUGGGUAACACUAACUGGAGGACCGAACCGACUAAUGUUGAAAAAUUAGCGGAUGACCUGUGGCUGGGGGUGAAAGGCCAAUCAAACCGGGAGAUAGCUGGUUCUCCCCGAAAGCUAUUUAGGUAGCGCCUCGUGAAUUCAUCUCCGGGGGUAGAGCACUGUUUCGGCUAGGGGGCCAUCCCGGCUUACCAACCCGAUGCAAACUGCGAAUACCGGAGAAUGUUAUCACGGGAGACACACGGCGGGUGCUAACGUCCGUCGUGAAGAGGGAAACAACCCAGACCGCCAGCUAAGGUCCCAAAGUCAUGGUUAAGUGGGAAACGAUGUGGGAAGGCCCAGACAGCCAGGAUGUUGGCUUAGAAGCAGCCAUCAUUUAAAGAAAGCGUAAUAGCUCACUGGUCGAGUCGGCCUGCGCGGAAGAUGUAACGGGGCUAAACCAUGCACCGAAGCUGCGGCAGCGAACGUAUCACCCAAGACAACUUUACGGAGUUGACGAUUGACGGAGCGAAGCGACGUCAAAGCGUUCAUUAAAGUCGAGUUGGCUUAGGGAUACGUUCGUUGGGUAGGGGAGCGUUCUGUAAGCCUGUGAAGGUGUGUCGUGAGGCAUGCUGGAGGUAUCAGAAGUGCGAAUGCUGACAUAAGUAACGAUAAAGCGGGUGAAAAGCCCGCUCGCCGGAAGACCAAGGGUUCCUGUCCAACGUUAAUCGGGGCAGGGUGAGUCGACCCCUAAGGCGAGGCCGAAAGGCGUAGUCGAUGGGAAACGGGUUAAUAUUCCCGUACUUGGUGUUACUGCGAAGGGGGGACGGAGAAGGCUAUGUUGGCCGGGCGACGGUUGUCCCGGUUUAAGCGUGUAGGUGUGUGUUCCAGGUAAAUCCGGUUCACUUUAACACUGAGGCGUGACGACGAGGCACUACGGUGCUGAAGCAACAAAUGCCCUGCUUCCAGGAAAAGCCUCUAAGCAUCAGGUAACAC
rnacentral:rRNA from 1 species